rnacentral:rRNA from 1 species
UACGUAGGGCGCGAGCGUUGUCCGGAAUUAUUGGGCGUAAAGAGCUCGUAGGCGGUGUGUCGCGUCGGCCGUGAAAACCUGCAGCUUAACUGUGGGCUUGCGGUCGAUACGGGCAUCACUGGAGUUCGGCAGGGGAGACUGGAAUUCCUGGUGUAGCGGUGAAAUGCGCAGAUAUCAGGAGGAACACCGGUGGCGAAGGCGGGUCUCUGGGCCGAUACUGACGCUGAGGAGCGAAAGCGUGGGGAGCGAACAGG